GUCUGGAACCAGCUUGACAAGCUUUUGAAGGAAAUCACCGAGGCUCAGAGAGGCCGAUCCACUUUCUCAAGGACGCACAGCUAGGAAACGAGAACGUCGGGAUUCAAAUCCUGAUCUGCGGGCUGAAUCCCUCAAGGAAAGCAGGUUAAAUGUUUUUAGACGUAAAACAUUUCAAGCGCCUACUAUGUGUAAGACCAUUGAGGUAUAAUUAUUCCCCCAAAAAGGACACGUUCAAAAGGGAAGAAGGAAGCUGAGAGGCAGAGAGAGACGUGGGAAGCUGCAGCCGGAGAGAGCCAGGAUUGGUGGGCAGGACGCCUCUCUGACUGCUGGCUCUCCGGCUGUUUGAGUGAUGGGCGAUCUGGCACGUGGGGCCACGGAGGGGAGGGGCUGGGACCCUCCCCUUACCUAGAGCCUUCUCCUGGCCUGACUGGUGAUGGUGGCUUCAGCCUGCCCCAUCCCUCCCGGACAUCUGUCCUCACCCCCCUCCCCACUGGCUGGGCUGUGGGGCACAGGCUGAUACUCCAGUCCUUCUCUGUGCUAAAUGGGGCAGUUGUCCCAGGGGCCUCCCUGUGUCCUUGAGGACAGACUUUCUGUUCCCUGUAGCAGCAUCCGACGCUGUGCUAGUUGCUUUACGGACAGUGUCUCUUC